rnacentral:rRNA from 1 species
UAACACGUAAACAACCUGCCUUCAGGAUGGGGACAACAGACGGAAACGACUGCUAAUACCGAAUAAGUUCCAAGAGCCGCAUGGCCCAUGGAAGAAAAGGUGGCCUCUACCUGUAAGCUAUCGACUGAAGAGGGGUUUGCGUCUGAUUAGCUGGUUGGAGGGGUAACGGCCCACCAAGGCGACGAUCAGUAGCCGGUCUGAGAGGAUGAACGGCCACACUGGAACUGAGACACGGUCCAGACUCCUACGGGAGGCAGCAUG